UGGGUUUUCGAGCUUCACUCCCAACCCCUGUGACAUACCUAUACGUUGCCUCGGCGGAUCAGCCCGCGCCCCGUAAAACGGGACGGCCCGCCCGAGGACCCCUAAACUCUGUUUUUAGUGGAACUUCUGAGUAAAACAAACAAAUAAAUCAAAACUUUCAACAACGGAUCUCUUGGUUCUGGCAUCGAUGAAGAACGCAGCAAAAUGCGAUAAGUAAUGUGAAUUGCAGAAUUCAGUGAAUCAUCGAAUCUUUGAACGCACAUUGCGCCCGCCAGUAUUCUGGCGGGCAUGCCUGUUCGAGCGUCAUUUCAACCCUCAAGCUCAGCUUGGUGUUGGGACUCGCGGUAACCCGCGUUCCCCAAAUCGAUUGGCGGUCACGUCGAGCUUCCAUAGCGUAGUAAUCAUACACCUCGUUACUGGUAAUCGUCGCGGCCACGCCGUUAAACCCCAACUUCUGAAUGUUGACCUCGGAUCAGGUAGGAAUACCCGCUGAACUUAAGCAUAUCAAUAAUCGGAGGA
rnacentral:rRNA from 1 species